CCUACGUGAGGCAGCAGUGAGGAAUAUUGGUCAAUGGGCGAGAGCCUGAACCAGCCAAGUCGCGUGAGGGAGUACUGCCCUAUGGGUUGUAAACCUCUUUUGUCGGGGAGCACAAGCCGGACGUGUCCGGCUGUGAGAGUACCCGAAGAAAAAGCCUCGGCUAACUCCGUGCCAGCAGCCGCGGUAAUACGGAGGAUGCGAGCGUUAUCCGGUUUUAUUGGGUUUAAAGGGUGCGCAGGCGGAUUUUUAAGUCAGCGGUCAAAUCGUGGGGCUCAACCCCAUCCAGCCGUUGAAACUGGAAGACUUGAGUGUGUUUGAGGUAGGCGGAAUGCGUGGUGUAGCGGUGAAAUGCAUAGAUAUCACGCAGAACUCCGAUUGCGAAGGCAGCUUACUAAGCCAUAACUGACACUGAAGCACGAAAGCGUGGGGAUCAAACAGGAUUAGAUACCCUUGUAGUC
rnacentral:rRNA from 1 species